UACGUAGGUGGCAAGCGUUGUCCGGAUUUAUUGGGUUUAAAGGGUGCGUAGGUGGUCUAUUAAGUCAGUGCUGAAAUAUCCCGGCUUAACCGGGAGGGUGGCAUUGAUACUGAUGGACUUGAGUAAAGUUGAGGUGGGCGGAAUUGACGGUGUAGCGGUGAAAUGCUUAGAUAUCGUCAAGAACACCUAUUGCGAAGGCAGCUCACUAAGCUUUAACUGACACUGAGGCACGAAAAGUGUGGGGGAUCAAAACAGG
rnacentral:rRNA from 1 species